rnacentral:lncRNA from 1 species
AGGAUUGCAAUUCUCUGAGUGAGAUACUGCGUUUACAUUUGUAUUUACUUAAUAAUUGCAAAUUUUUUUCUAUUUUCUCCAUAGGUAAUCGAGCUACCAUCUGAGUAGAAUCAAUUUCAAUACCGUAGAUAGUAAUGCAAGUAGUAGGGAGUUGUGUUUUUUCUGAUUUGAUGGGUACCCCCAAUUUAUCAGCAAGACAAAGAAAAGUUUGUAAUGCACUAUAACAUUCAUUUGAGCCAGCUUUUCCGACAAAGAAAAAAUCAUCUAACAGGUGUGAUACCCCAUAUAUUUGAAAUUUAGCAUUUAAAUUGGUUAAGGCUUUACCAAAAGUAAUAGUAGGCAUUUAUAAUCAAGUUUUG